rnacentral:rRNA from 1 species
AUUGAACGCUGGCGGCAGGCUUAACACAUGCAAGUCGAACGAGUGGCGGACGGGUGAGUAAUGUCUGGGAAACUGCCUGAUGGAGGGGGAUAACUACUGGAAACGGUAGCUAAUACCGCAUACCAUCAGAUGUGCCCAGAUGGGAUUGGCCUGGUGGUGGGGUAAUGGCUCACCAAGGAGACGAUCCCUAGCUGGGCGGAGAGGAUGACCAGCCACACUGGAACUGAGACACGGUCCAGACUCCUACGGGAGGGAGCAGUGGGGAAUAUUGCACAAUGGGCGCAAGUCUGAUGCAGCCAUGCCGCGUGUGUGAAGAAGGCCUGCGGGUUGUAAAGUACUUUCAGCGGGGAGGCGUUACUCGCAGAAGAAGCACCGGCUAACUCCGUGCCAGCAGCCGCGGUAAUAC